CCUACGGGUGGCAGCAGUGAGGAAUAUUGGUCAAUGGGCGGGAGCCUGAACCAGCCAAGUCGCGUGAGGGAAGACGGUCCUAUGGAUUGUAAACCUCUUUAGGCGGGGAGCAAUGCCGGGCACGCGUGCCCUUCGGGGAAGUACCCGCGGAAUAGGCAUCGGCGAACUCCGUGCCAGCAGCCGCGGUAAUACGGGGGAUGCGAGCGGUAUCCGGAUUUAUUGGGUUUAAGGGGUGCGGAGGCGGAGUUUUAAGUCAGCGGUAAAAUGUCCGGGCUCAACCCUGGCGGGCCGUUGAAACUGGGGAUCUUGAGUGGGUGAGAAGUAUGCGGAAUGCGUGGUGUAGCGGUGAAAUGCAUAGAUAUCACGCAGAACUCCGAUUGCGAAGGCAGCAUACCGGCGCCCGACUGACGCUGAGGCACGAAAGCGUGGGGAUCGAACAGGAUUAGAUACCCCAGUAGUC
rnacentral:rRNA from 1 species